AGCGAACGCUGGCGGCAGGCCUAACACAUGCAAGUCGAACGGAUCCUUCGGGAUUAGUGGCGGACGGGUGAGUAACACGUGGGAACGUGCCCUUUGGUUCGGAACAACUCAGGGAAACUUGAGCUAAUACCGGAUGUGCCCUUCGGGGGAAAGAUUUAUCGCCAUUGGAGCGGCCCGCGUCUGAUUAGCUAGUUGGUGAGGUAAAGGCUCACCAAGGCGACGAUCAGUAGCUGGUCUGAGAGGAUGAUCAGCCACAUUGGGACUGAGACACGGCCCAAACUCCUACGGGAGGCAGCAGUGGGGAAUCUUGCGCAAUGGGCGAAAGCUUGACGCAGCCAUGCCGCGUGAAUGAUGAAGGUCUUAGGAUUGUAAAAGUCUUUCACCGGGGACGAUAAUGACGGUACCCGGAGAAGAAGCCCCGGCUAACUUCGUGCCAGCCGCCGCGGUAAAAC
rnacentral:rRNA from 1 species